rnacentral:lncRNA from 1 species
GGAGAGGGCUGAUAUCUAGAGUCCUAUCCUGAAAAGACUUCUAACACAGCUCAGCUAUGGUCGUAUUAUGGAAAUUGUGGUACAAGAACCCUUGAGAACUGAGUGAACAGCAGGGGGCAGUGUUGGCCCAAUAGAACUGGUAAGAUGCAGCCCUGGCCCAACCUGGAAGAAGAAAUCGACUUACUGGCUAACAUGCUGGCCCAUCAAGACCCUGUCCCCCAUCGCCAGGAUACUGUCCCCCAGCGCUUCCGCUGGCCUGCAGCCACCCUGGUGUCCCCAGGACAGGAGCCUGAUACCCCAUCCCCUCAGGGCGCUCAAGUUCCCACCGUCAGAGCCUCUCAUUCAUCUUCGAGGCCUGUGGAGAUGUCACCUGUGGAUCCCCCACACCCAUCUAAUGAUGUCCUCGUUCUCAGUAGGUAGUGGUGGGGUUCCUAGGGGUGGUGGGAGGCACCAACGUGAGGGAGAAGGGAGGAUUCAGCCCCCUCUUGAUGGGAAGCAGUGUGGCAUACUGGACAGAGUGGAGUCAGGAGAGACUUGGGUUCAAAUCCCUGCUCCAACACUUACUAGCUAU